GUGAAAGCUAUGAAGGGUAGUAGUAAAUAAAAUUUUAUUUUCAGAGAGUAGGCGGUUGGUGAAAGCCUAUAGUAAAGUUUAUUGAAUCCGACCUAAAGCUGCAUAGGGGUAAAAACCUAUGCCGGAAUUAUCCGUUAUAAUAAUGAGGCUGGUAAAACAGUAAAUUAAGGUGGUACCACGUGGAUAUUAGAUUCUCGUCCUUGAC
rnacentral:ncRNA from 1 species